rnacentral:rRNA from 1 species
CCUACGGGAGGCUGCAGUGGGGGAUAUUGCACAAUGGGGGAAACCCUGAUGCAGCCACGCCGCGUGUGGGAAGAAGGUUUUCGGAUUGUUAACCACUGUUCUUGGUGAAGCUAAUGACGGUAACCAUGGACAAAGCUCCGGCUAACUACGUGCCAGCAGCCGCGGUUAUACGUCGGGAGCAAGCGUUGUCCGGAUUUACUGGGGGUAAAGGGUGCGUAGGUGGUCUUGUAAGUCCGACGUGAAAACCACAGGUUCAACCUGUGGACUGCGGUUGAAACUGUGGGGCUUGAGUGAAGUAGAGGUAUGCGGAAUGCGCGGUGUAGCGGUGAAAUGCGUAGAGAUCGCGAAGAACACCGAUGGCGAAGGCGGCAUACUGGGCUUUCACUGACGCUGAGGCACGAAAGCGUGGGUAGCGAACAGGAUUAGAUACCCCGGUAGUC